AGAAGUCGUAACAAGGGUUUCCGUAGGUGAACCUGCGGAAGGAUCAUUG
rnacentral:rRNA from 1 species